rnacentral:lncRNA from 1 species
CGGAGAGGAGAUCCAUCAUCCAUGGUUGGAGGAGUUCCCAAGAUGCAGAAGACCUCGCCGCCCACUUACGCCCCCAACCCCGCCUCCUCACCGUCGGCCUGGCCCCAGGCGAUGGAAUCCCCCGCGCCGCCGAUCAGAUCGGCAGCGGCGGCGCCAUCUUCCAGUCCCUCCCCGGCCGCCCGCACCGCCGACCUGGUUUCUCGGUUCAAAGAGCAGGGAAAGGCCCUGAUCGCUGCUCAGCGCCCCUGGCCGCAGCUCCUCAAUACCACCGCCCUCUCCCGUCCCGCCAACGCCGGCGAGGCCGUCGCCCGCCUCCGCCGCAACCUCGCCUACUUCCGCUCUAACUACGCCCUCUUCGCGAUUGCCGCCCUCUCCGCCUCCCUCCUCUGGCACCCCGCCUCCCUGGUCGCCUUCGUCGCCCUCGUCGCCGCCUGGUUCCUCCUCUACUUUUCCCGCGACCAGCCGCUCGUCCUCUUUGGGCGCCUGAUUGACGACGGGACUGUCCUUGGAGCCCUCUCCGUAGCCACGGUCGUCGCCCUACUGUU